rnacentral:rRNA from 1 species
AUUGAACGCUGGCGGCAUGCCUUACACAUGCAAGUCGAACGGUAACAGGUCUUCGGAUGCUGACGAGUGGCGGACGGGUGAGUAAUACAUCGGAACGUGCCCGAUCGUGGGGGAUAACGGAGCGAAAGCUUUGCUAAUACCGCAUACGAUCUACGGAUGAAAGCAGGGGACCGCAAGGCCUUGCGCGGACGGAGCGGCCGCUGGCAGAUUAGGUAGUUGGUGGGGUAAAAGCUUAGCAAGCCGACGAUCUGUAGCUGGUCUGAGAGGACGACCGGCCACACUGGAGCGUAGACACGGCCCAGACUCCUACGGGAGGCAGCAGUGGGGAAUGUUGGACAAUGGGCGAAAGCCUUGUCCAACCAUGCCACGUGCAGGAUAGAGGCCUUCGGGUUGUAAACUGCUUUUGUACGGAACGAAAAGACUCUUUCUAAUAAAGAGGGUCCAUGACGGUACCGUAAGAAUAAGCACCGGCUAACUACGUG